GAAAUGCGAUAAGUAGUGUGAAUUGCAGAAUUCAGUGAAUCAUCGAAUCUUUGAACGCACAUUGCGCCCCUUGGUAUUCCAUGGGGCAUGCCUGUUCGAGCGUCAUCUACACCCUCAAGCUCUGCUUGGUGUUGGGCGUCUUUGUCCCGCCUCCGCGCGCGGACUCGCCCCGAAUUCAUUGGCAGCGGUCCUUGCCUCCUCUCGCGCAGCACAUUGCGCUUCUCGAGGUGUUGCGGCCCGCGUCCAGAAAGCAAUCGUUACCGUCUUUGACCUCGGAUCAGGUAGGGAUACCCGCUGAACUUAAGC
rnacentral:misc_RNA from 1 species